UUUUUUUUAAGUGUCAUCUCACACAUUGAUCUUUCAUAGAUACACUGCUGAUAUAGGACAUUACUAAGUUUUAGUUCAGUAUUUUUCUUACCUCAAUUUUGCACUCUAAAAUUUUGUCUGAGAAGAGAACAGUUAUUGAUUCAGUUGCUAUAGAUUUUAAAGAAUACCUGCAAUUCAUGACUUACAGGCUGACUUACUGGUUCAAUUGGUUAUUUAACGAAUUCUGGUCUUUGGAAACCUCUAUGAAAUGAUUGUUAGUUUAUAAUUAUGCUGAAAUAGGAUACUUUAAUCAUCACUUAAUUCCUUUCUUGUGGCUGACUUCUGGACAAUCUUAACAUGGCAUCGUUCGUAUCGUACCUACAGGUAAAUAUUCCAAUCUACCGGACAUGUUUAUAAUUAUUCAUUAACAUCUUAAAUGUUCAAUAGUACCAGGGGAUGGUGAAAAAGGUUAAGAGAUGGAAAAUACAGAAGGACAAAAGAUGUGUAUUGUACAAGUGAAGAGAAGUUGGGAAGGGCCAAAAAGAGGAAAAGGAAUUAAAAAGCCGAUUUUUCUGGAGGUGAAAUAGUAGAAUUUGCUAUAGGUACUAAUUGAUGGAGAGACAAGAGGAAUGUGCUGAUAAUUGCUAACUACUAAUAGACUGCUCAACCAACUGGAGGAAUAAGCCUUUUUCACUCGUAUGGUAUGGUUUUUGAUUUCAUAGUUCAAAUGUUAGACAUGUUCCUGUUUUAAAAAGGGUGAAGCAGAAUGAUGAUUUUCAACAGGAAAUCACUCUUUUUCUACGAGAAUCUACACACUUUUAAUGCUCCCCCCAUUAUUACCA